rnacentral:lncRNA from 1 species
UCCCACUCCCCUCCUCCGCCUCCGCCUCCGCCUCCGCCUCCGCCGCCGCCCCUCUCACACAAUUCUCCAUUAUCUAUAGCAAUUCUAGUCCUCUGUAUGGUCUCUACUUCUUUGUUGACACCAUACCUUCCCACCAUUAGGCACCAUACCUAUGGCUGGGAGCUCGCCUCACCAUCUGACCUCCUCCUACCGCUCAUUCUCAAUUUGUUGCCAACUGAAAGCCUUGAUCCAUUCCUCCUAGUUUUAGCUUUUAGAUCGCAAGAAGCUACGACAGAAGCCACCAGAUCUAGAUAGAUCAAAAUACCCUCAACACACGCCACUUCUCGCCAUCGCUGCUCUUCAGAUCUAUGGCGGGCCUCGAUGGAUGCCCAUGGUGUAGAUCUCGCGGCAAAGAUGGAUCACGACGCUCGACUGGAUUUCCCCCAAUCCGAGAGAGAAGGCACGACAUAUAAGGUACCUUCUUAGCAAAUCCUAUAAUCGUUAGCAAAAUCAUCCAUUGAGAAGAUGUCUCCUCGUGAUUUUAACAGGAGGUGAUUUCAGGCUACCAGAUCUGUAGAUGACAACACCCUCGGCUCUCAUUGCUAUGCACAUGUCUAAGUUAUUGUACAAUCAUUGCUCACUAGAGCUACGGUGGGCCUUAAGUAAAUCUCCAUAGCAUAAAGCUAAUGACAAAAAUGGAUCAUGACGCCCAAUUAGAUUGACUCAAUACUGGAAGGUCAAGCAUGACACAUGAGGUACGUAAUUAACCGUUCCUACAACAUUCUCAAGAUCAUGCAUUGAAAAUCAUUCCCGUCGUGGCCUUAAUGAUGACGCGAUCACAUGCCACCACAUAUAUAUAUAUAUAUAUAUGUCAACAUCCUCGCUUUUCAUCUUUGUGUAAAUCUAACGAAGAAGAUGGGUCAUGAUGCGUGACUACAUGGCCUAAAACACAAGAUCAAUCAUGAUAGAUCAUGUACCUAGCUACUUAGUAGAUCCCAAAAGCAUCUGUAAAAACAUGCUUUGAAAAAUGAAAGAAACGAUACAACUCAGUAGUUAGAUUACCAUGGCAAAAUUAUGACAUUUACAUGCCAUAUCUACAGGAGCAAUCGGGGCUAGAGCACCUUCAUCCAUUUUAUGCAACCGUGAUUCCAGGAUGAGGUAAGUCUUGUGUUAGCUUUGUGAGAUGAACACCCUUCUAAAUAUUUAUCUUAACGUGUCCCAUUGCUUGAUAUCGAAUAAGUCACUCUCUUAGAGAUUAGCCACUCUGAUUUAGUUAACAAAAGGGCAUUACGAUUUUUCAAAUGAUUUCAUAUGGAGAUUAUGUGACUUCUGGGGAGAUGAUUAACAUAGACCAUGCCUCAUUUAUAUCCUACUAGUGUCUUGUGAUGUGUGAAGUUACUCUGGGCACCCUCCUCACAAAAAAAAACUUUUUAAUACCUGGUGGAAUGUUUAAAAUAAUAGUGAAAAAUUGAUGGGAAUAACAUAUAUACUCCUUUGUUAGCGUACCAUCUAAUCCUAGCUAGUUCAGUCAAAUGAACUAAAUAAUUGCAUGCCUAUUCAUAGAUACAUGUCGUUUUGGACAUUGACUUUGUCUCUACAUACACCUUUGAUUGUUACGUUAUACAUGAAUAUACUAGGAAAAUAAUAUUCGAACUAUGUUAGGGGAGUAUUUUUCAUGUCAAUAAAUUGCUAGCUAAGGUGGUUAUCUUUUUUCUUUUGCCAAACCAAUCCGUUGUGUGUUCCCAAACAUCAACUCACUUCAUGGUGUUGUUAUUUAUGAGAACAAAUACAAGAACAUCAAAGAAACUAAAAGAAAAGAAACACAAUAAAAAUAAUAUAAGUUGGGUUCGGGAACACAACCAAUUUCUUUCACAAACAAUAGCUAACCACCUGAGGUGGCAAUGUUUCCAAUGAAUCCUAGAAUGGUUUUGUUCGUUGGCACGCAUACUUCGACAGGCUCCGGUCGCGGACUAGGACAUACCAUGGGAACCCCUACAAAGUAUUGAUGUGUUAGUGGUUGGCCUCCUCUCUCCCACCUACCUGGUUUUAUUUUCCUUGGUUGUUUAGCCUUGUAUUGCUUUACUUUUGUUUGACACUUCAUUUGGCUGGCUGGCCAACAGUUUGUUUGAUAUCGAACCGAAGGACUUCACUUAUUUAAAGUCGGGCAAGCACCUUUCAUCUAAAAAUAUCCUAAACCAUGACGCCAACUGUCAGUUAGUGAACCAGAUGAUGACAUCUCAUCUCAGCACCAUCUAAGAUGGCGUGACUCCAAAAAAGCCAAUACAAAUGCCCCCCCCCCCCAACACACACGCAUACAUACGCUACUACUACCUUGAGGCCUCAAUGGUAGUACCGCCUAACUCCUAAGGGUCGGAGGUGCAAUAUUGUUUUGGACGGGGCCACACAUUCGAUUUGAUUGUGGGAAAGACCAUGUAGAACCAAAAAAAGUCAGUACUGGUAGUAUUUUGAUUCAUAGUGUGUGGACACACAUAAAACAAUUGCCCGUUGUAUUCUUUUGGACCUCCAAAUAACUUGCAUCUUCAAAAUUUGAGGCCAUCCCCGGGUUUCAUACCUGAAACGCUUUUGAGCUCUCUGCGGGUGCCUCUUCACUGACAAAUUUUAGGUGGUUGGCAACUUGAAAAACCUGAAGCUUCUUGCAGGCCACCUAUUUCUCAAGAGAGCAACUCGUUUAAUCCUGGGCCAAGACCAUGAAACCUAAUGCUGAUUCCCUUUGGGUGGAGUUGCAGCCUUUUUGUACAUUAGAUAGUAGUCCAUGCGAGGUUGAGGGUAUGAAGUCAGUGUACAGAUAGAACAUACGUCUACUGUGUCACAAAAUUUUAAUAUGAAUUUAAUUUACAACUAGAAGCAAAAAGACAGAUCAUCCUAUGAACAAUUGUUUAUUCAAAAUCAGUUGUAAAUUAGGGCCAUCAACACCACCACAUCUUUAUUUCUUAUUUUUGUUUCUUGAAUUGUGAAUUGAACUUUGUAGUGAAAUUGUAUACCAUGUUAAAUGUAUCCAGCGUGUAUGUACUCGAUUUUUUUCAGUUUUUUUGUGAACUUUUGAUAUGUGUUUUUGGCCUUUGAUACACCGGUUGUACAAAAAUUCUAGGCGGAUAGGAUACUCUCCAAGAGCUGGUCAUGGCAGAGAAUGUAUUCUGUGCACCAAGAGCUCUUGUACAGCCGAUGCAUCAGAACAUAAAAGUCAAUACUAAAAGUUCUAAGAAACAAUUCAGUUAGAAGUUCAACUCAAGGCUUGAGAAACAUAAAUGACAAAUUUGGUUGUGGUAGUGUUAAUUGCACAGUUCAUAGCCCAAUUUGAUUAAACUACCAUCUGUAGCAUGAUUGGGCUUUUUUUUUGUUUCUCACGUUGUGAGUUGAAUUUGUAACUGAAAUAUUUUAACAUUAUAGAUGAACAUUAUGUCUAUAUGAUCAUUUUCCGAAACUUUUAUUAUAUAGAUCUAUACUGUAGGGUGCACCAGUUGCACAAGAACUACUGUGCACAGGAUACUCCCUCGGCCAUGACAAGUUGGCAACUGAGAACAUAUCCUCCUGUGCACCCAUGGUUUCUAUGCAACCUGUGCACCCAAUUAGAAAAACACAUUACAGGUUUCCAAAAAAUUUGAAAAUAGUUUAGCAUAAAGAGACAACAUAGGUAUGAUUAGAUAUGUAAUAAUAACUAGCUGAUGGUUUCCAUAAUUUGUUUGCUUUUAACAGCUAAAACACUUCCAGUAGGACUAAAUUGUUUUGGGUAAACCUCCUUCAUUUUCUGAAAGAACUAUAGAGAUUUCGAGAUUUAUGCUAAAAUUUACCUUCCAACUCUAUAUCGUAAAAUUAGUCUUACCAUGAUUCACUAGUUACAGGGUAACUAUACUAGUUGCCUGAAAUCAUACAGACCAAAUAGCCAAAAGCUUUAUGUUGAACUUUCCACUCACUCUGCCUCCAACUAUGGCAUGGCAGUCUUCUACAUUUGGGGCUAGAUAAGUUAUUAACUUUGUGUAGCAUAUAUAUAGUCCAUGGCCCAUAACAUGCUUAUGAAUCGGCUAAGUCAAUGUCAAUGUCACCGAAGUACGCACUUACAGAUCUAUAAUCCAUUCUUAUAGCGGCGUGUACAUUCACAUUAUCAGAUAUGCGCCAGUAGAUUGAGACAGGCAGAGGAGAGAUCAUGAGAGAAAUGACGCGGAGACGUGCAACUUUUAGCAUUCAACGAGAACGUCUCGGCAUCAUAUCAUCGUAUAGAGUUGAAACAUGAGGCGUUCUAAAUGGUAAUGCAACUUUUCUUAAGACUGACAGCAUUCUCCCAAGAGGAAAAUACUGUAUGAAGCAUCCUCAAGUUACAUUAACAAGUACUUAAAAUAAGAUUUGAACUCGCAGAGGUUAAGAUAACAUUUUUUUUUUACACCUCCACCAAUCUUCCUGCUUCUUCAUGGCUUCUUUUCAGAGUCCUUGGCCUGCUCCUCCUCCGCCCUCAGCACCUCCGCGGCAGCAAGCAUCAUGUCCACAAGAGGUGUCAUGAAUGAUGCUGGGGAGGGGAAUGCACUGUUUUCAUCAGAACCUUGUGUCGAAUUGCUGGGUACAGGGUUCUUGGGGUCAGUGGUUGUGGCCAUUGCCGGCUGCACAACAGUCCCUUUUCGUGCAGUCCACUUUGGUUUCCGCCUUCUACUGUCCAACCAACGUUUCACCUCCUUGGAGACAUGUUUAGGAGCAGAUGGGCAGGCCCUUACCCUGGUGCUGCCACCAGCAACAUGAUGCUUGAGGCUGGUGACGCCGCCGCUGCGCCCAACCAUGGGGCAGUACUUGCACUUCCAGUUUCUGUUUCCGUCGAUGAUGAUACCAUGCUGCCAUCCCUUACGAUCCCUGAUUUUCAGGGAACCUUGUGCGCUCUGCCAAAUUUAGGAGUGUUAGAUAGUUGUACAGAUCAGAUCAGGUUCCAUUCGGAAAAAAAAAAGAUCAGAUCAGGUUCUCUCUGCUGCAAUCUAAAAAAGACUGCCAUGCCAGAGUUGGAGCACACGAGAUUUUUGUCUAUUGGUUUUGUGAGUUGUUUUGCCCCAUAAUGUCAACUAGUUCAGGGAUUGGAUGAAAAUUCAGGGCAAGCCCUUUUUUCAGUCCACGGAGUUGACUGAUAAAAUCUAUCAGAAAUCCAUAAGAUCUGGAGUUCUUCGAGACAAAAAAAAAAUUUAAGGCAGAAAUUACCCAGAACAAGAAACCAUCUCAAGAAACAUCACAGAAAAAAUAGCCCUAGAAUCCGCUAGCACAGAAUUGCAACGCAGAAGAUAAAUCGCAUACGGCCUUUCUACCAACAGAAUCGAUCCUACAAGCGAGAAUUCGACAGGAUCAUACCGGCUGCUCCGGGGUGGUCUCUGGAGCCGGCCGCCGGGGCCUCUUGCAGGGCCGUACUGAAUCUGAAUCGUCGGACAGCGAGUCCGAGCAGCGCAUCUUCUCCUUCCCCUUGUUGUUCUGUUUGUCAGCCAUCUACAAAAGUUUCGACCCAGAAACGAGGAUCCUGCAUCAAAUCCAACCGAAAUUGUCACUACUACACCACUAUCCACUACCCAACGAAAGAUAAUGAGAAGAAAAUUUGCAACCUGAACAGAAAGCGUCGGAGAGGAGGGCUGACGGUAGAUGAUCCGGCAAUGCCUGGUGACAAACUUGGCGCCUAGCAUCUCCUUUUAAAGUCCCAGGAGUAUUGCCUUUCUAUUCUUGACUAUGAAUUCAUCACCGGGCGCCAGAUGUGUUUUCUUCUAAAUCUGUUCGCGCGCCUGUGUUUCUUUCUACGUACAGAUUAGCAGUCCUGUAACUUGUGGUAAGCUUUAAUUUCCUGCCUGGAAUUAUCAACGGCUACUUUCUACAGAGCACCCGGAUCCGUGACGUGGACAAGUUAUCUUUUCAAGGUGCAUGUAAUGUAUCCAUUCGUUGGUGGUUCUACGCUCUCCCUCCGUAUCAAGUGCUUUACAGUGGUAUUUUCGUAAACAAAUUUGGGAAGGCAGUAAAGUUUUUCCUUCCAUCGUUUCGUACCAACAAAUUAGAGUUGGAGGCAUCCCAUCUCAAGCUGUCUCUUUGGUUAAAAAGUUCGGGUGUUAAUUGAUAUGGACAAAAAUUUGCUUGGCUGGACGUGACAGAUUGACUGUUAACAGAUUGGCCUGAACCAACAAAAUUACUGGAAAAAGCAUGGAGAUGUUGCAGCACACCUUCUUGUUUGCAAUUUUUUGAGUCAACCUGAUUUACAAGUGAAGCUACAAGAAAGAUACAAGCGAGAGCUACGAAUACAUUCACAGUACUGUGGACUUCUGACCGUUCUUCCUCAAGUAAUUAUCUCUGUGCCCAUGCAAAACCAAAACAAAAAAAAGCAUCUUUGUGAACUGCUUGACGUUGCAAAUGGUUGUUAACAUGUACUCCCUCCGUCCGAGAAAGUUUGUCCCAAGUUUAUCCCUCAAAUGGAUGUAUCUGGCAUAAGCGAUGCCAACACAUAGUGACAUGCUAUAUUCUUAUCUUAAGUGACAACGUUUUAUGGCAGUCUGGCAAUUCAUUCCAUGUAACAAUUAGCGCACAUCCACCUGUUGUAACUGUCUCCCUUCGUAAAAAUCACAGCCGCGCUCCAGUUCCAUAGGCCACAACUUGGCAUCCAAAGCAAUAUGGGGAAGGAAGAAGCGACGACGGAACGGCUAGGAUUUCGACCGCCACCGCCUAAGGGCAUCACUGUAGUCGCCUUCGGCUGUGCAUGGUUCGUCGACAACCGCCGACCAUCUCUCAUCCCCUUUUCUCCCCAUCUCCAACCUCUAUGCCUAGGCGCAACGAGCGAGCACCUGCAGCAACAUCGAGCUCCUAGAUGCAUGGACAUGGUGAAGAAUGUGCUGAACAUGCCACGGAAUGGUUCCUUCCAUAAUCUAGCAUUUGAUUUUUGUGGCGAAAAAUUAUUCAAGAAGUUGGACGCCUAUUAGAUGUUUGUGUAAUGCAUGUUAACAACGCUUACAAGCUUAACGAACUUCAAAUGAGGCGAGCCGAGAAGGCUUUUGCUUGUUAUAAGCUAAAUGAGCCGGGUAGCUUGUUAAUCCACCCCUAGACGCCACCUAUGGGUCGAGUAGUGAGCGACCGGGAGGGUCAUCCCUCGCCCCUCCACGCCAUCUCCUCCACAAUUUGGUAUUUCCAUAAUGAUAGAAUUUUCAUUUAAGUAUAUUUCGCCUAUUGUAUUGUUCACUAAUGAACUUCUUCACAUUUCCAGGAUUAAUCUCAACAUCCAAUUAUCGGAUAACUUGAACACAACUUAGUUCAGCAGUUGUAAGUCCAGCCAAUGGUUACAUGGAUAUGAACAUAUAUAGUCCAAGAUGGAUGUGGACUAAAAUAAUACAAAAUGCAUUUUCCCCUUG